GUUUCUGAAUUUGGUUUUUAGUUUUUCGAUUUUAGAUUUUAGUUUUAGUUUUUGUUAUUAAAUUUUUGUUUUUAAAAAAAAAGUUUUGCUUUUUGAGAAAAAAUAACGUAGAUGAAGUAGAACUAGAUUUCCUAAAUAA
rnacentral:sRNA from 1 species